AUGAAUUAUGUGAUGCUUGUGAUUGCAGGAUAUGAUCCCGCAGCCAAAGCUGCUAAAUAUGGUAUGCCAAGUGGGGCGGGCAUCGGUGGAGAAGGUGUGCCAGCACCUAUAGCGACUCCAAGACCAGGUGUGGGCGUGGGUGGUGGUGUUGGAGGAACUGCCAUUGAGCGCACUGACGUACCAGUGGGCACAGGGAUACCUAUCGCAGGCAAACCAGCAGAGGAUUCAUCUCUAGAACCCAGUGGAACUCCCAUCCCAGGUGCCACAGGAGUAACUGGAGUUGGGGCUGGGGUUCUUCAACCUAGUGUUGGUACAGGCCCAGCUCAGCCUGGUGUGGGUGUCGGAGCAGGUGGCAAAGCUCCUAAACCCCCUGGUGCAGGGGGAUACCCGUAUGGUGGUUAUGGACAGGCAGGACAACUCCGGUAUGGUCAAGGUUAUGGACAGGGUGCUGGUGGAUAUCCCUAUGGAGGAGGACAUGGAAAUCCAUACGGAGCAGGAGCUGGACAACUUCCUGGAGCCAAGCCCCUGAAACCUCCAGUUGUGGGAGGAGCAGGUGGUGUGGCUGGAGGAGCAGGUAUCCCUCUUACUGGAGCAGGUGGUGGUGCAGGUGUGAGGUAUCCCACUGGUGUUGGUCUGGGGGCAGGAGCAGGUCAAAAAGCACCCAAACCCCCAGGUUAUGGUAACCUAGGUGCUGGUGGUGCUGGUUAUAAUCCAGGUGCUGGUGCGGUCCCAGGUUACGGCGGUGGCUACCCACAACAACAGGGUUACCCACAGCAAGGUGGCAGCUACCCACAACAACCCUACCCAGGAGCAUAUGGAGCAGGCCAGACGGCACCACUGACUCCUCAACAAGCCAAAGCAGCCAAGUAUGGCCCACUCCAGGGCUUCCUUGGUGGAGCAGGAGGAGGAGGCUACAGACCAGGAGGAGUUGCUGCUGGAUGCCAAAGCAAAUACUGUGGAAGGCAGAAGUAG
rnacentral:lncRNA from 8 species